rnacentral:rRNA from 1 species
AGUUCGGAUUGCAGGCUGCAACCCGCCUGCAUGAAGCUGGAAUCGCUAGUAAUCGCGGAUCAGAAUGCCGCGGUGAAUACGUUCCCGGGCCUUGUACACACCGCCCGUCACACCAUGAGAGUCGGGAACACCCGAAGUCCGUAGCCUAACAGCAAUGAGGGCGCGGCCGAAGGUGGGUUCGAUAAUUGGGGUGAAGUCGUAACAAGGUAGC